CUCUCACAGAAAAAGGUAGGAAAAAGAUUGAACGACUGAAAAACAAAGCUUUUGAAAAGUUUUCUUAAGAAAUUUUGAUUUCUCUCUUCUACUCUGGAGGUUUUUGUUGGGAAUUUCAGAGGUUGAAGAACAGGUCUUGAUUUCCUUCACGAUUGUUUUAAGUUGAUUAGUUGCCUAUUCUUGCUUUGGUUCUAUUCUGGUGUUUUAACCUUCAGUUCUUUUUGGAACCAAGCUCACUCGAAUGUGGGCUGUUUGUUGCUGCUUGUUUUUCUUCUUCAAAUAUUCAGAAAGUUCUGCUUCUUUUCCUUGGUUUUCUUUCCUGCUACCGUUGUUAAGAUUCGAGCCGUUCGGAGUUGGACAAUUGAGGGAAAGGCUUACUAGUGGAUUGAGGUAGCAUGUUUUGAAAUCCAGGUACCUCCUACUCGUCUAGGCACUAGCGAGAGCUCAGCUCCGGAGACUUCAAGGUAUACCUACCGGCAUCCGUAGGCCUCGGAUUCCCUCUCUACCUAGUUUAUUUUAUUUUCUUAUCCUUUUAUAGACACUGAUGUAUAUAGGGAUGUUCAGUACCAUCUUAUAGAGCUUGUGACUUGUAUUCGCCGGGUUUUGGAAAAUUGUAUAUGCUGAGUUGUGGAGUUUUCUUUAUUAAUAUUGUUGAGUAUUUGAGAGUUUA